GAAGACGAGAAUGGGUUCCUCCCGCCUGGCCGAGGGUUUCUUGAAGAGGUCCCCUCGAAUUCCUCUGAUUCCACAGAUCGAAACCUGGAUAUCCAUGAAGUUGAUAGCAUGUUGCCUAAUGAUGGCCACUUUGCCCGCUGUAAUCAUAGGAAGGGCGGCCCCGAGGCAGCCAUGGAAUGGGCUCUAUUCGUGUGAGCCGCGAGUUGAAUUCCAGCAUUACAUAUACCCGAAGUGUCGUGGUCUGUGGGUUUCGUCAUGGUGGUGAGUCCGAAAAGAAGUGUGGAAGAAGAAGAGAUCUGCAGGACAACUCCAGAAGAAGAAGAAAUCUGCAGGACAAAUCCAGAAAUUGAAGGAUGACACUCAGUAAGAAUCAAAUGAAGAUGAAGCUCAGCUACUCCUGGCCGGCAAGAAGAUGAGACGGUUGGCCUCGAGAACACCGCUCUGAUGCCAUGUCAAGAUUCAAGAUUGAGCAGAAGAACUUAACUUCUUUUCAUUCAUUCGACUGGUAUAUAUGCAUCCAGGUCCGGUAAAUAAAAGGAAAACAAUAUCUACGGCUAAACUAGGGGUGCCUAAAUAUGGUAUACAUGGAUAUAUGUACAUAAAAUACAGAGGGAAAUAAAUCUUUCCAUAAUA